AUUGAACGCUGGCGGCAGGCCUAACACAUGCAAGUCGAACGAGUGGCGGACGGGUGAGUAAUGUCUGGGAAACUGCCCGAUGGAGGGGGAUAACUACUGGAACCGGUAGCUAAUACCGCAUACCAUCGGAUGUGCCCAGAUGGGAUUAGCUAGUAGGUGGGGUACCGGCUCACCUAGGCGACGAUCCCUAGCUGGUCUGAGAGGAUGACCCGCAUCACGGGAACUGAGACACGGUCCAGACUCCUACGGGAGGCAGCAGUGGUGAAUAUGGCACAAUGGGCGAAAGCCGGAUGCAGCCAUGCCGCGUGUAUGAAGAAGGCCUUCGGGUUGUAAAGUACUUUCAGCGAGGAGGCGUUACUCGCAGAAGAAGCACCGGCUAACUCCGUGCCAGCAGCGGCGGUAAUAC
rnacentral:rRNA from 1 species